UUUUCCCAUGCAGGCAAUGUCAGUGGCUCAAAAAAGCAACCGACUUAAAAGUUCCAGGGCCUUGGCCUUGAGGCAGCUCCCUCCCUCUCUCCCCUGACUGCAGGACCAAUAGUUUCUGCCCUUCUCUAUAAAUACUUUGCUCUUUUGUACCAUUCCUUGCUGAGUUUUCCUCUCUCUGCAGGUACCUUUGCUUCGGUCUGCCAGAAACUCUGAAGCCUGAGUUUAAACCUUGCUUCCUGGGCAAAGUCUCCCUUAGGCUCCUGCUGGGAAGUGAGCUCGCCACCCACCGGUUGCCUUUGUGUCCCCUGUGAUAUUGUUCUGCUCUUACUCUUGUUUCUAGAAAGCCCAGGCCAGAUCUGAAUCAUUUUUGUACACUCUAAAAUAGAGGAUGUGAGACAUAUUUUUAUCAGGAGACAUUUUUCGGUGAAAAAUACACAAAUCCCUCAAUAUACUAAACUGCUUUAGAAUCUCUUGCUGUUGUUUGCAGUUAUUAUCUUUACUCAUGUUGCAGUUCAUCAGUGAAAAACCAUAAGGCUCUUUUGAGAGACAUUUGAAAAGAGAACCUGAGUGGCAUUUAGUUUCACGUCUAUCGGCUGUACUUUUUCGCUUAUUUCUGCAUUUUCUCUAGGUUGUACAAGAGCAAGCAGUCAUGACUCACAAAAUCAAGUUGCAAAUGGUAAUAGAUUUUUUAACACCUUGUUUUUCAGUCUUGGUAUCUUUCAGUAUCAUUGCCUGAGAAGUCAAGGAAAUUUCAAAGCAGAACUCUGGCAGAAAGUCCGCCUCACAGACACAGCCAGCCUGGGACAGGCACCGAAGAGAGGUUUCUUUUCAACAUGACCAGCACAAAGACGCAGUCGUCCGUUUGAUUAAAAAGUCAUCAGAUGAGUCAAGCACAUCGUUACUAAAAGAGAGUUUAUUUCCUGGUCUGUACCAAAAGCAAAUAUACCUGCCUCCAUAAGGUAACAAACUGGUGGACCCAAAAAGAUUUACAACACACGUGAGAGUGUUUGAAAUUAUAUUUAAGGAAUGUUCGUAGUCUCCGCAAAACCCUAGCGUUGGCCAGCAUGUGGUUGGAAAGCCACUGCUCUCUGUUCUGGCCACAGAGGGCACUGUCUGGCACAGAUACUCUCUCUAGAGUAUUUAUCACUCAACAUGAGUUCUUUUAAGGAGAGCUGUUCAUAUGCUUGAACAACAGAACAUAUUCUUACACUUUACUUUUUCAGUGCCUUAGAAAUAUUUAUAUAUGCAAAGAAGUGAAAAACCUAGUUGAAAUCCAUUUUUUUUUUCACUCUGAGUUUCAAAAUCACAGCAUCAGAUUGGAGAAUAGACUAUAAAACUAAAACCUUUAUGAAUUCACUCUGUAUGUAUGGUACUUCAUUAGCACAACUAAACAUGGAUUAUAGUUGAGAGAAGAAAAAAAAGAGGGAGAGGGGAAGAGAGAGUGGAAGGCGAGGGAGAAAAGGGAAAGUGGAAAGAAGAAUAAAACAGGGAGCUCCUGUCA
rnacentral:lncRNA from 1 species